rnacentral:lncRNA from 11 species
GUGAUUGGCACAUGCAAAUUGUCUUCCUGCCAGGAGGUGGGAGUCCAAUAGGAGAGAGUGGCAGCAGCAAAAAAGGCCAGGAACAGGAUUAGAACAUGGCAGGAAGCAGGUGUUUCAUAUGAACUGAUCCAGAAACAUAGAGAACUAACUCAGGCCUGCAGCCAUUUGGCUUUACAAAAAUCAUGUUACUCAGACAUUUCCUCCUCUGUGCUGAGCCAUUCCAUCCAACAACAGAGGUACAGAAUAAGAUGAGAAACAACUAUUAUUGAAAGACCAAACCAAACAAAAAGCAAGCACCUUCAGAGGACUGGAAACACUGCCAAGCUAUUUUGGACACAUCCUUGUUUUCCAC